CAAAGGCACAAAAUUUUCCCCCUUUGAACGCCACACGCCUUCCACCAUUGUUGACCACAGAGCUCCUAAAACCCCCAAUUCAUAUCUCCUUCCAACAAUACAAAUUUAGGGUUAGGGUUUUUGGGAGCUCGAAUUUGUUGUGAACAAAAUGGCUAUUCCAACCGCAUUUUCUGGGCCCAAGCUUGAGUCUUUAUCAUCAUCGGCUGCGGCGGCUUCUCCGGCGUCAAUUGGGUUGUUUUGCAAUCCGGGUCGGGUUAGAAGGCUGUCAAUUCAAAAGGGUUUGUUCAAUUCAGGGAUCAGGUGUGAAGUUGCAGCAUCUGAUGUUGUGGAUCAGAGUCAGAGUUCUGGAAAUGUGACGUCUUCUUCUAGCCUUUCUGCUCUUGAGCAGCUUAAGAGCUCAGCUGCUGACAGAUAUACCAAGGAGAGGAGCAGUAUCGUUGUCAUUGGGCUCAGUAUCCACACUACGCCUGUUGAAGUACGUGAAAAACUGGCUAUUCCUGAAGCAGAGUGGCCGAGAGCCAUUGGGGAGCUCUGCAAUUUGAAUCAUAUUGAAGAAGCUGCAGUUCUUAGUACCUGUAACAGGAUGGAGAUCUAUGUUGUGGCUCUUUCCCAACAUCGUGGCGUAAAAGAAGUUACCGAGUGGAUGUCAAAGACAAGUGGAGUCCCGGUUACAGAAAUUUGUAAGCACCGUUUUUUACUGUAUAAUAAUGAUGCGACACAGCACAUCUUUGAAGUAUCAGCUGGGCUAGACUCGUUGGUCUUAGGGGAAGGUCAAAUCCUUGCUCAAGUUAAGCAAGUUGUCAAGGUUGGUCAAGGAGUUACAGGCUUUGGAAGAAACAUUAGUGGACUAUUCAAGCAUGCAAUCACAGUCGGAAAGAGGGUUAGAACUGAAACAAACAUUGCAGCAGGCGCAGUUUCUGUAAGUUCAGCUGCUGUGGAGUUGGCUCUGAUGAAGCUUCCUGAAUCCUGCCACACUACUGCUAGGAUGCUAGUUAUUGGAGCAGGCAAGAUGGGGAAACUUGUGAUUAAGCACUUGGUAGCCAAGGGAUGCACAACGAUGGUUGUUGUAAACAGAAGCGAG
rnacentral:misc_RNA from 1 species